rnacentral:lncRNA from 1 species
UACCAUCAAGAUGGACGAGGUCACCGUAGCGAUACUCCAGAAUAAGGUUCUAAGAAGGGAGAACCUGACUUUGACCUCAGGUGGCAGUAGCUCAGCUUUGGUGGCUUCUGGAGGAGCAGGAGGUGGUAGACGGAGUGACAGGAGAUCGCGAUGAGGAUGGUCCAAAUCUAGGAGGGACUUGAGCAAAAUCAGGAGUUACCGGUGUGACGAGUUGGGGUAUCUAGCC